AUGAACGCUAGCUACAGGCUUAACACAUGCAAGUCGAGGGGCAGCAUGGUCUUAGCUUGCUAAGGCCGAUGGCGACCGGCGCACGGGUGAGUAACACGUAUCCAACCUGCCGUCUACUCUUGGACAGCCUUCUGAAAGGAAGAUUAAUACAAGAUGGCAUCAUGAGUCCGCAUGUUCACAUGAUUAAAGGUAUUCCGGUAGACGAUGGGGAUGCGUUCCAUUAGAUAGUAGGCGGGGUAACGGCCCACCUAGUCUUCGAUGGAUAGGGGUUCUGAGAGGAAGGUCCCCCACAUUGGAACUGAGACACGGUCCAAACUCCUACGGGAGGCAGCAGUGAGGAAUAUUGGUCAAUGGGCGAGAGCCUGAACCAGCCAAGUAGCGUGAAGGAUGACUGCCCUAUGGGUUGUAAACUUCUUUUAUAAAGGAAUAAAGUCGGGUAUGGAUACCCGUUUGCAUGUACUUUAUGAAUAAGGAUCGGCUAACUCCGUGCCAGCAGCCGCGGUAAUACGGAGGAUCCGAGCGUUAUCCGGAUUUAUUGGGUUUAAAGGGAGCGUAGAUGGAUGUUUAAGUCAGUUGUGAAAGUUUGCGGCUCAACCGUAAAAUUGCAGUUGAUACUGGAUAUCUUGAGUGCAGUUGAGGCAGGCGGAAUUCGUGGUGUAGCGGUGAAAUGCUUAGAUAUCACGAAGAACUCCGAUUGCGAAGGCAGCCUGCUAAGCUGCAACUGACAUUGAGGCUCGAAAGUGUGGGUAUCAAACAGGAUUAGAUACCCUGGUAGUCCACACGGUAAACGAUGAAUACUCGCUGUUUGCGAUAUACUGCAAGCGGCCAAGCGAAAGCGUUAAGUAUUCCACCUGGGGAGUACGCCGGCAACGGUGAAACUCAAAGGAAUUGACGGGGGCCCGCACAAGCGGAGGAACAUGUGGUUUAAUUCGAUGAUACGCGAGGAACCUUACCCGGGCUUAAAUUGCAGAUGAAUUACGGUGAAAGCCGUAAGCCGCAAGGCAUCUGUGAAGGUGCUGCAUGGUUGUCGUCAGCUCGUGCCGUGAGGUGUCGGCUUAAGUGCCAUAACGAGCGCAACCCUUGUUGUCAGUUACUAACAGGUUCCGCUGAGGACUCUGACAAGACUGCCAUCGUAAGAUGUGAGGAAGGUGGGGAUGACGUCAAAUCAGCACGGCCCUUACGUCCGGGGCUACACACGUGUUACAAUGGGGGGUACAGAGGGCCGCUACCACGCGAGUGGAUGCCAAUCCCCAAAACCUCUCUCAGUUCGGACUGGAGUCUGCAACCCGACUCCACGAAGCUGGAUUCGCUAGUAAUCGCGCAUCAGACACGGCGCGGUGAAUACGUUCCCGGGCCUUGUACACACCGCCCGUCAAGCCAUGGGAGCCGGGGGUACCUGAAGUGCGUAACCGCGAGGAGCGCCCUAGGGUAAAACUGGUGACUGGGGCU
rnacentral:rRNA from 1 species